AGCGUGCAUGGAUUUGUUGCUCUCUGCUCUGGACUGUGAAUGUCAUGUGACUAGGAACUUUUCGUUUCUGCCUUGACUUGAUGGAUGGUAACCUGGAAUGCUUCGGUACAGCUCCCUCAAGCUCCAGACACGGAUUGGCUCACCAUGAUGGACUGGAACCUGGAACUGUGAACCAAAAUAAACCCUUCUCCCCUAACUCAUGUGGACCAGGGAACCCUUCUCCCAUAACUUCUGUGGAUCAGGGUAUUUUACCGCAGCAACAGGGAAAGAAAAAUACUAAGAUAGUCCCAAACUGUUUUCUGAAUUGUCUUAACAAUAAACGCAUAUCUCUCUGUAUUCAAAUGAU